CAGAUGGCCCGGUGAAUUCACAAAAAAGGACAGACAGUGUCAGCUUACGUACCCAUUUUUCUCCCAAACACAGUAUAUUAAGGAUUCGACAACCGACGAUUGCAUGAUGAGUUGCUCCGUUCCGAAAAACUACCGAAGAGGGAACGAGUCUAGCUGGGUUACGGAAUGCUUUGACGGCAGCCGCUGUGGAUCAAGCGGCAGAAGAAUAUGUCUGAAUUCAGAUUGUGUGGAGGACCCGAGGCUGCAUGGCAAUACCGAAAAGUCAGAAUAGCCUGAAAAGGACUCUGCCUUUACAAACUGUUAUAGUUCAGUGAGCUGCUACAAGAACUGGCUAAGGUACCC